AUUGAACGCUGGCGGCAGGCUUAACACAUGCAAGUCGAGCGGGGUGAUGGUGCUUGCACUAUCACUCAGCGGCGGACGGGUGAGUAAUGCUUAGGAAUCUGCCUAUUAGUGGGGGACAACAUCUCGAAAGGGAUGCUAAUACCGCAUACGUCCUACGGGAGAAAGCAGGGGAUCACUUGUGACCUUGCGCUAAUAGAUGAGCCUAAGUCGGAUUAGCUAGUUGGUGGGGUAAAGGCCUACCAAGGCGACGAUCUGUAGCGGGUCUGAGAGGAUGGUCCGCCAAACUGGGACUGAGACACGGCCCAGAGUCCUACGGGAGGCAGCAGUGGGGAAUAUUGGACAAUGGGGGGAACCCUGAUCCAGCCAUGCCGCGUGUGUGAAGAAGGCCUUAUGGUUGUAAAGCACUUUAAGCGAGGAGGAGGCUCUUUUGGUUAAUACCCAAGAUGAGUGGACGUUACUCGCAGAAUAAGCACCGGCUAACUCUGUGCCAGCAGCCGCAGUAA
rnacentral:rRNA from 1 species